rnacentral:rRNA from 1 species
CAUGCGUAGUCUUAUCAACAGCGGACUUCGGUCCUUGCUGCACCCUUGUCUUUUGCGUACCGUAUGUUUCCUCGGCGGGCUUGCCUGCCGGUUGGACAUUAUCAAACCUUUUUGUAGUUGCAAUCAGCGUCAGAAAACAAAUAAUAAUUACAACUUUCAACAACGGAUCUCUUGGUUCUGGCAUCGAUGAAGAACGCAGCGAAAUGCGAAAAGUAGUGUGAAUUGCAGAAUUCAGUGAAUCAUCGAAUCUUUGAACGCACAUUGCGCCCCUUGGUAUUCCAUGGGGCAUGCCUGUUCGAGCGUCAUUUUGUACCCUCAAGCACUGCUUGGUGUUGGGCGUUUGUCCUGCAAAGGACUCGCCUGAAAGCGAUUGGCGGCCAACGUACUGGUGGUAGAGCGCAGCACAAUUUGCGUCUCUCCCCUCUGCGUCGGCGUCCAUGAAGCCUUUUUUCAACGUUUGACCUCGGAUCAGGUAGGGAUACCCGCUGAACUUAAGCAUAUCAAAAGUCC